rnacentral:snRNA from 1 species
AUGCUCACUGCGGCAGAACAUAUCCUAAAACUGGAAUGAUGCAGAGAAGAUUAGCAUGGCCCCUGUGCAAGAAUGACAUGAAAAUUUGUGAAGCAUUCCAUAUUUUU